GCUUCGCACUGAACUCCAUGGUAGAAAAACACUUGAAUUCGCAGAUGUGGAAGAAGAUCCCUCCUGCGGCAGAUAGCCCCAUGCCCUCGCCAGCAGCCCACAUCACCACCCCCGUUCCAGCAUCCGUUUUGCAGCCUUUCAGCAACCCCAGUGCUGUGUAUCUUCCUUCAGCUCCCAUCAGCUCGAGACUCACCUCUUCUUACAUAAUGACAUCAGCCAUGCUCUCAGACGCAGCUUUUGUGGCAUCGCCGGACCCACGCGUCCUCAUGUCCCACACCACAGCUUUCCCCCAUGUGGCUGCAACCCUGAGCAUCAUGGACUCAACCUUCAAGGCCCCAUCCGCCGUGUCCCCGAUACCAGCUGUCAUUCCUUCCCCAUCCCACAAGCCAUCCAAAACCAAAACCAGCAAAUCCUCAAAAGUGAAAGACCUGUCCGCUCGUAGCGACGAAUCUCCAAGUAACAAAAAGAGGAAGCCGCAGUCCUCUAUUUCCUCCUCCUCCUUAUCCUUGCAGGCUUCCCUCUCGUCUCCAUUGUCAGGGCCUCACAAAAAGAACUGCGUUCUGAAUGCCAGUUCUGCUUUGAACUCCUAUCAGGCAGCCCCUCCCUAUAACAGUUUGUCUGUGCACAACUCAAAUAACGGGGUAAGCCCACUCAGUGCCAAGCUGGAGCCCUCAGGACGGACCUCACUGCCCAGUGGCCCCAUGGACAUAGUGAGACAGGUGGGCGC
rnacentral:lncRNA from 1 species